rnacentral:tRNA from 1 species
UAGCUCAGUUGGCUAGAGCACCUGCAUGACGCGCAGGGGGUCGGGGGUUCAAGUCCC